ensembl:lncRNA
CUGCAAUGAAUAGCUCUCCCCCCUCCCUUUCCUCUCCCCACUGAGCCAGCUGCUCCUGUGUGUUCCACUGUCAGUAUCCUUGCUGCAGAGACACGCCGAGUGCUCCCUAAUAACUGGGGGAAUCGGUGCCGCUCAUCGCUGAGGCUGACAGCUGAACACAGCUCAGGGGAACUGAAUGCGCAAGAGGAGCAGAAAGAAGAGGGUAGAUUGAUUCUUUGAGAUGCAAGGAUAAAAUGCCUACGAAAAUAGCGAUGAUCGUGCUGGGUGGGUGAUGAGGGUGAGGGCCGGGAAAUGUGGUAGUCACAGCUGGAAAGGGAAACUAAAACUCGAAUUUGGAAGUCGAAGAAAACGUAAUUUGCCAGUCACACCUUAUUUCUUUUUGCUCAAGGAAAGCCGUAAUCAGGGUGGGGAGAAUUAGAAAAAUUCUCUUUUAUCUUCUGGGACCAGAACCACGAGACAUACACGACUGAAGUCGAGGACCAUUUGCCCAGGCUUGCCAUAGAACUAGGUUUUCCUUCCGGGAAGAGAUUCUCUGACUGAGAAAGCACCUGCAAGUAACUCUUUGUAUAGUCUCUGUGAGAGCUUCCAGAAUUGUAAAGCAUUCUAACGAGAAGAAUCCUGAGAAAGUGCUGAAUAUCACAGAAUACAAAGAAAAGAGAAGGCGAAACUGACAGAGCUUAUAAACAUAGCAGGAAAGUUCAGAUAUGCACAUUUCUGCUGGAGUUUUAAGGAGCAGUGUGUUUCCUACAUCCUGAAGCAGAUGAACUUGAUGGGAUGGAGUUUCUUGAAAGCCUUCGAAGUUUUCAUGGCAAUUCCCUUGUUCAUUGCUACAAAAGGUAUUUCCAAAAAGUGUAUUGUGUGUUUGUGUGUGUGUCCAUCCAUGUGUGCAUGUCCAUGUGUGUUAAGGAAGUGAUAUUUGUAUAUUUUUCAGUAUUGAAGUCAAGGAGUAAUGAUCUGCGGUUAUUUGAAUUGGCCAUUUGUACAGAUAUAUGGAGGAAAGGUUAUUUUUAUAUACUCUGUUAGACUUUUGAAAGGCUGUAUCUUACGAUGUUAUAACAGUUAGCAUACUGCAGGCAUGCAAGGAUGCUUUUUUUUUUUUAACAUUUAAUUAUUUUUUGGGAGACAGAUACAGAGCAUGGGCAGGGGAGGAGCAGAGAGAGAGGGAGACACGGAAGCCAAAGCAGGCUCCAAGCUCUGAGCUGUCAGCAGCACAGAGCCCCACGCAGGGCUCGAACCCACACACUGUGAGAUCAUGACCUGGACCAAAGUCAGCACUUAACCAGUUGAGCCACCCAGUCACCUCAUCAUUGUUUUGAAGCCAUGGACUUUUCUGAGAAGUUAAUACAAGCUAUGAACUCUUCCCAAGAAAGUGUGUUAAAACAAACUCAAGCAAAAGGAUGUGCACAAUUUAUUCCUAUUUUAUGUCAUUGUUGAACUUCUACUAUAUGCUACUAAUAGACGUGGGGGUAGCAGAGUAUAGAGCAUACAGAAUAGGUAAGAUAAACUUUGUCUCCUCCAGUGACAGGAGGAACAGUAAAGAGAUAUUAUAAUGCAAUAUGACUGGCGCUAUUUACUGUGAAGGCAGCACACUCUUUCACAUGGGAGGAGCAUCGAGCCCAGGAUUGAAAGAAUUAAGAAUGAUUUUUGUGGAAUCUGCCUCUAAGUUGAAACCUGAAGAAGUAGUCAUUAGCCACUUGAUGAGGAGGAGGAGUUUGCUUUUAGCAUAGGAAAGAGAUUAUUUGAAGUUGUAUUUUAAGAGAGAGCAGUUGCAGAACUCCAAGAGGCUCACGUAGCUAGAAUAUGACAUAUGAAGAAUGCAGGAACAAGAGAUAACAUUGGAAAAGUGAUCAAGGGCCAGAUUAUGCAGGACCUUGUAAGCCCUACUAAGAAAGCUUGACUCUGUUGAAGAACUUUGGAGAGUCUUUGCACGAUUUUGAGUUCGAUUUGCCUUGUAGAAAUCUUACUUUAAGCACUGUGGAGAAUGAACUAGAGAGGGACAAGACUUUAAUGAGGGAAAGCGGUAAGAGGCCAGUUGUAGCAACACAAGGAAGAUAUAAUAGUGUUCUAUAUUCUUGACAAGGGGUGUACAGAGAACUGGUUUGUUUUAUGAGACUUUUGGAAGUAGAUAUAAUUUUACUAUUUGUAUGUGAGUGGUAUGAGAAAGAGAAAAGUUGAAGGUUAAUCUAAGAUUUCUAUCCUAAGCCACUGGGUUGCUGAUGGCACCCCCCAUUCAGAAGGACUACAGUGGAGAAAGAAAAGUUUGAGUUAAAAGAGAUCAAUUAAGGUUUGGGCUUAUUGAAUUUUAAUUUCUAUGGCUUAUCCAAGUAUCCAAUGGGGCAUUUAGAUAUGCAGCUCUGGGCUGUGGAGAUUGAUACCAGAAUUGGUAACAUUUGAAAAUAAGCGAAGCCACUGCAAUACAUGAGAUCAUACAGAAAGUGACAGAACCUUAGUGAAUUAAUUAGAGUAAAAGCUAAAUUACUGUAACAAAAGAACUCUAUAAUAUCAUGACUUGAAGGAAAAAGAAAUUUAGUUUUCUCUCCCAUAUCAGUCCCAAUUUGAAGAGAUCACACUGGUAGGAUAACUCAACUCUACCCAGGCUCUUAGGAACACUGAUAUCUGGAUGAUCUGCCAUCUCGUAAGUGUUAUCAUUAGCUUGGUUGAAGUUAGAGCACUGCCCCCUCUGGAUUCCAGCCAUUUGUACCAAAAGUCACAAUAAAUGCAGAGAAAGGAGGAAGAGUAGAUUUACA